AGAGUUUGAUCAUGGCUCAGAUUGAACGCUGGCGGCAGGCCUAACACAUGCAAGUCGAACGGUAACAGGAAGCAGCUUGCUGCUUCGCUGACGAGUGGCGGACGGGUGAGUAAUGUCUGGGAAGCUGCCUGAUGGAGGGGGAUAACUACUGGAAACGGUAGCUAAUACCGCAUAAUGUCGCAAGACCAAAGAGGGGGACCUUCGGGCCUCUUGCCAUCGGAUGUGCCCAGAUGGGAUUAGCUUGUUGGUGGGGUAACGGCUCACCAAGGCGACGAUCCCUAGCUGGUCUGAGAGGAUGACCAGCCACACUGGAACUGAGACACGGUCCAGACUCCUACGGGAGGCAGCAGUGGGGAAUAUUGCACAAUGGGCGCAAGCCUGAUGCAGCCAUGCCGCGUGUAUGAAGAAGGCCUUCGGGUUGUAAAGUACUUUCAGCGGGGAGGAAGGGAGUAAAGUUAAUACCUUUGCUCAUUGACGUUACCCGCAGAAGAAGCACCGGCUAACUCCGUGCCAGCAGCCGCGGUAAUACGGAGGGUGCAAGCGUUAAUCGGAAUUACUGGGCGUAAAGCGCACGCAGGCGGUUUGUUAAGUCAGAUGUGAAAUCCCCGGGCUCAACCUGGGAACUGCAUCUGAUACUGGCAAGCUUGAGUCUCGUAGAGGGGGGUAGAAUUCCAGGUGUAGCGGUGAAAUGCGUAGAGAUCUGGAGGAAUACCGGUGGCGAAGGCGGCCCCCUGGACGAAGACUGACGCUCAGGUGCGAAAGCGUGGGGAGCAAACAGGAUUAGAUACCCUGGUAGUCCACGCCGUAAACGAUGUCGACUUGGAGGUUGUGCCCUUGAGGCGUGGCUUCCGGAGCUAACGCGUUAAGUCGACCGCCUGGGGAGUACGGCCGCAAGGUUAAAACUCAAAUGAAUUGACGGGGGCCCGCACAAGCGGUGGAGCAUGUGGUUUAAUUCGAUGCAACGCGAAGAACCUUACCUGGUCUUGACAUCCACGGAAGUUUUCAGAGAUGAGAAUGUGCCUUCGGGAACCGUGAGACAGGUGCUGCAUGGCUGUCGUCAGCUCGUGUUGUGAAAUGUUGGGUUAAGUCCCGCAACGAGCGCAACCCUUAUCCUUUGUUGCCAGCGGUCCGGCCGGGAACUCAAAGGAGACUGCCAGUGAUAAACUGGAGGAAGGUGGGGAUGACGUCAAGUCAUCAUGGCCCUUACGACCAGGGCUACACACGUGCUACAGUGGCGCAUACAAAGAGAAGCGACCUCGCGAGAGCAAGCGGACCUCAUAAAGUGCGUCGUAGUCCGGAUUGGAGUCUGCAACUCGACUCCAUGAAGUCGGAAUCGCUAGUAAUCGUGGAUCAGAAUGCCACGGUGAAUACGUUCCCGGGCCUUGUACACACCGCCCGUCACACCAUGGGAGUGGGUUGCAAAAGAAGUAGGUAGCUUAACCUUCGGGAGGGCGCUUACCACUUUGUGAUUCAUGACUGGGGUGAAGUCGUAACAAGGUA
rnacentral:rRNA from 1 species